AUACGUAGGGUGCGAGCGUUGUCCGGAAUUACUGGGCGUAAAGAGCUCGUAGGUGGUUUGUCGCGUCGUCUGUGAAAUUCCGGGGCUUAACUCCGGGCGUGCAGGCAAUACGGGCAUAACUUGAGUACUGUAGGGGAGACUGGAAUUCCUGGUGUAGCGGUGAAACGCGCAGAUAUCAGGAGGAACACCGGUGGCGAAGGCGGGUCACUGGGCAGUAACUGACGCUGAGGAGCGAAAGCAUGGUUAGCGAACAGAAUUAGAUACCCUGGUAGUCCAUGCCGUAAACGGUGGGCGCUAGGUGUAGGGGUCUUCCACGACUUCUGUGCCGUAGCUAACGCAUUAAGCGCCCCGCCUGGGGAGUACGGCCGCAAGGCUAAAACUCAAAUGAAUUGACGGAG
rnacentral:rRNA from 1 species